UACGUAGGGUGCGAGCGUUAAUCGGAAUUACUGGGCGUAAAGCGUGCGCAGGCGGUUCGUUAAGUUCGAUGUGAAAGCCCCGGGCUCAACCUGGGAAUGGCAUUGGAAACUGGCGGACUCGAGCGUGGCAGAGGGGGGUGGAAUUCCGCGUGUAGCAGUGAAAUGCGUAGAUAUCAGGAGGAACACCAAUGGCGAAGGCAGCACUCUGGGACGUGACUGACGCUGAGACGCGAAAGCGUGGGGAGCAAACAGG
rnacentral:rRNA from 1 species